UACGGAGGGGGCUAGCGUUGUUCGGAAUUACUGGGCGUAAAGCGCGCGUAGGCGGACCUGCAAGUCGGGGGUGAAAGCCCGAGGCUCAACCUCGGAACUGCCUUCGAUACUGCGGGUCUCGAGUCCGGGAGAGGUGAGUGGAAUUCCUGGUGUAGCGGUGAAAUUCGUAGAUAUUAGGAAGAACACCAGUGGCGAAGGCGGCUCACUGGCCCGGUACUGACGCUCAUGUGCGAAAAGCGUGGGGGAGCAAACAGG
rnacentral:rRNA from 1 species